rnacentral:rRNA from 1 species
AUACGUAGGGAGCAAGCGUUGUCCGGAAUUACUGGGUGUAAAGGGAGCGUAGGCGGGUGCUCAAGUUGAAUGUGAAAUGCAGAGGCUCAACCUCUGAAUUGCGUUCAAAACUGAGUAUCUUGAGUGAAGUAGAGGCAGGCGGAAUUCCCGGUGUAGCGGGGAAAAGCGUAUAUAUCGAGGGGAACACCAGUGGAGAAUGCGGCCUGAUGGGCAUUUACUGAAGCUGAUGCUCGAAAGCAUGGGUAGAAAACAGGAUUAGAUACCCUGGUAGUCCAUGCCGUAAACGAUGAUUACUAGGUGUGGGGGGACUGACCCCUUCCGUGCCGCAGUUAACACAAUAAGUAAUACACCUGGGGAGUACGGCCGCAAGGUUGAAACUCAAAUAAAUUGACGGGG